CUCAGUUCGGAUUGGAGUCUGCAACCCGACUCCAUGAAGCUGGAUUCGCUAGUAAUCGCGCAUCAGCCACGGCGCGGUGAAUACGUUCCCGGGCCUUGUACACACCGCCCGUCAGGCCAUGGAAGCCGGGAGUGCCUGAAGUGUGCAACCGCAAGGAGCGCCCUAAGGUAAAACCGGUGACUGGGGCUAAGUCGUAACAAGGUACC
rnacentral:rRNA from 1 species